AAGUUGGCUGUCACGAGAACUCCACACUGGAAACCAACAGACAUUUGUCUAAAAAUAAAGGUAAGUAAACUUAAUUGAUUACCAAUGACUCCGGGACAACAUCCCCGUGACGCAGCGCAUCGACUCACGCAUGCGCAGAGGCUCUGCCACGGCAGUAUUGUAGAGGAGGAGCAGCCGCCACCGGGAGACGAGAGCUGUCGUGUUGUUGAUUUCACACAAGAUAAACUUUUCCCCACAAUGUCGGGAUUUGACAGCAACCCCUUCGCGGAUCCCGUGGACGUGAAUCCCUUCCACGAUGCCUCCAUCACAGAAGCCACCAGCGGAGCCACUGAAGGCGUUGAUGAGUUCAACCCCUUUUCUGCAACUGACAUGGGAACCGUCUCUGGUGCAACCAUCCCCAUCACGGCUGCCUCCUCUCAACCUGCUGUCCUUCCAACCUCUGUGGAGCAGACUGCACAAGCAAAUGCAGCUUCUGGCCAGGCUAAGCUGAUCAAACAGCAGGAGGAGCUGGAGAGGAGAGCUGCUGAGCUGGAUCGUAAAGAGCAGGAGCUACAGAACAGGAGCGAAGGCAGAACAAACACUGGAGAGAAAGAGAACAACUGGCCCCCUCUCCCCAGAUUCUCCCCAGUGAAGCCGUGCUUCUAUCAGGACUUUGAGGAGGAAAUCCCAGAGGAGUACCGCAGGAUAUGCAAGAGAAUGUACUACCUCUGGAUGUUCCACAGUGCCACUCUCUUCCUAAAUGUGCUGGCCUGCUUGGCGUACUUCACAGCAAAUGCUCAGUAUGGUGUUGACUUUGGUCUCUCCAUCCUCUGGUUCAUCCUCUUCACCCCCGUGUCCUUCAUCUGCUGGUACAGGCCCGUCUACAAGGCCUUCAGGUCGGACAGCUCCUUCAGCUUCUUCUUCUUCUUCUUUGUCUUUUUCUUCCAAGUGACCGUGUACAUCAUUCAGUCUGUAGGGAUCCCCAGGUGGGGAAACAGAUUCCUGCUGCCCUAACUUGUGUGGGUUGCUGCUUUGUAAGUCUGGGACUUUUCUCUUUGGGUCUCUCCUCUGGAUCAUUUCAGUGGAUGGAUCUCAGCCAUUAGUAUGAUCGGCACAAACCUGGCUGUUGCUGUGGUCAUGCUGGUUGUGGCCGGUUUCUUCACUGUGAAUGCCAUCCUGGCUGUCAUCCUACUGAAGAUGGUCCACUCAAAGUACAGAAGGACAGGUGCCAGCUUCACUAAGGCCCAACAGGAGUUCUCCAGCGGAGUCCUGACCAACAGGAGCGUUCAGACUGCUGCAGCCAGCGCCGUCAGCUCUGCUGCUCAUGGAAACUUCGGCAGGAACUAGGGAGUUUAGACUGUUUCCUCACUUCCUCAGUGCCUCAGGCUAGUUUCUGCUUAAACAUCAUACAAGACUAGCCAUAAACAAACAUUCUUCUGUGAGUUAAGAGGAUUUUGGGGUGUAUGGGGUUAUUUACUGAACAGAGCAAGAAAACAAGUCAGUUAUCAAGGUCAACCAAGUGAGUUAUUUCACUUUUUAAUGUUAAACUUCUGCAGACACUGUGGUGCAGAAGAUAAGCUAGAGCUCUAAUGCUUGAAUGUAUGACUCACAGGUCUCGUUUUUUAUCAAAAACUUGGUCACCCUCGUUAGACCACAGCUAAUAAAAAUGAUGCUGUGAUGGAAAGCAAAGGAAAUCACAAACAAGGUGAAUGAUGAGACAGAGGGUAUGAAAAACAAAGAAUUACAAACAUAAUACAACAAAACUCCCUGACUGAAUUAUAUUAAGAACCUAAAGAGGUACAUUUGACAUUACACCUCCUUUUAUCCGUUUGCAAAGGCAAACAGGGGGUCUGAAAAGACUUAAGUUUAGUCUGAAGUCCAUUUAUUUUAAUCAUUAAAGACUCUAAAAAGUCUUAUAAUUUUCGAUCUUGUUCAUUUGGGCCUUAAAAAAACUACAGGAUCGUCGGGAUGCUAUUAAGAAAAUAACUGGCAUGAGCCCGGGGUAACCUGCCAGUCAAUCUUCUGCCUGAACCACUUUAAAUACUGUACGAUUCCUGCAAGUUUUACUGGAGUUACAUAUUUUCAGGCAAUCACUACAAGUCCUGUGAAAGAGAUGCAUCCUGUUACACUUCUUUUGAACACAGUUGCUGUCUUGAUUUUGCUCGUGUUUGUAUAAUACUGUACAGGAGGAGCUGAUGACUAAUGAAUGAAGGUGUUGGGAUGAAGGUUAUUUUAUUUCUGUUUUAAUCAGCGUACUGGUUUAGAUGACGUGCAGUAAGAGGCUCUUCUGAGGGCAAAUGAAGAAAACUGGGAUGGCACAUUUUAUUUCAUGCUGAGUUGUGCAGAACAUUAUGUUUUCUAUGAAGUCAGAUGUGAUCAAAAUGUACGAUGGUGCAGAUUUUCUGACAUAGUUACUGAGAUAGUAUAUGAUUUAUACUUAUACUUUAUUUACUUAGGGAAACAAUGAGCAGAAAGAACACUUUUUUUAUCUGUUGAUUUUCCAAGUGGUACUGGAUAGUCACAGAUAGUCUGUAUUUUCUAGCUGCACCUACAUGUUGGUAGGUAUUAGAAUGUUUAUGCUUGUGAAUGUAGAGAUAUGCUGCCCUUUUCUAACUUCUCCUUACCCUAUCAUUGAAUCACUUUCUUAGGGUGUGACCUCAGUGCCUUUAAGCAAGUGUAACCCACCUAUUUUUGUGGGGAUGUGCGCAUAUGGCUGUUGGCUGUUAGUGUUUUGUCUUGUUUUCUUUGUCUUUAUAGAAAAUAUUUUAUGGUGUAGUUUCCCUUUCAUGAUCAAAAUGUGUAUUAAGGUGUGUUGUACAUAAUGUUGACUUAUUUAAAACAUGUUGGAGGGGUAUUUUCAGGAACUGGUUCUCAGUCUUAACACUGAAUAAACUGUUUUCUCUUUUGCAAUGCAGGUCAGGUUGAGAAUGUAAUCAUGUUAAAGCCUACCAAGUAAAUCUGAUUGUACUUUACUUGCCUAAUAUAAAUCAACGUUAUUUUUGCACCUGCAUGUAAAACACACAUACUCCAUGCAUUUGUUGAAGGCCUCUUUGCUCGGCAGAGAUAAAAAAAUCCAUUGUUGGUAUUAAA